UAUCUUUGGAGCUUUGAAGGUCUAGAGAGAGAAAGUAGUGAUCAAGGUGAUUCAAGGUGUAAACAUUGUCAGAUUAUUAAUCGAAUCAUCAUUAUAUUUUGUUCUUGUGUUCGAUCCACACAAGUACAUGGAUUCCGCACGUGAUACGUGUUCUUCGCAAUCGUCGGGAGUUCGUAUUCGAUCCGAAAAUGCACGUUCAACGCUGCGCAAAUUCCUGAAGUCCCUGACGUAAUGUUUAGUUGUUACACGUUAUCAGCGCGAAUUGCUUUGUAGUCUGAUUGCGUCAUCGUAAGUUUCGGUAAUGCACUUUCUCCGUUAAAUUAGGGUUUCUGCAUUUCAACAACAUUCCAUCAAUUCAUCUUCCAAACUCCACAAUCAUCACGAAUCUCAACUUCAUCGUUUUCGUUUCAAUUGGUAAACCUUUUGUAGUUACCUAAUUGUCUGAAACUUGCUCCAGGUUGAUCAUCUAUCUUUAGCUCAUUACUUGUGAAACUUGGUAAACCUUUUGUAGUUACCUAAUUGUCUGAAAAGUAUGGAAAAAUCAGUAGAAAAUUCAUAAUAUUUGUUUAAACUUUCGUUUUUUAGAAGUUUAGAACUAUGUAAACAGUUCUGUUUGAAGGUUCAGGCCACAGAAUGUCAGCAAAAACCGGUUUGAGUCUGUUGGUUUCCAGCAAGUGCCUCGGGAUAAGUCAGCGGGAGUGAAAAUCAGCAGAUUUCAAGGAUGUUUCAGGAACUGCACAAGAGGUGCUUACAAUUCAAAGAAAAAACUAAAAUAAAAAAGAAAUCGAAAGAUCAAGAACUAAUGUUGCUCCUCCAGAACGACUGAAAAUCUUGCUCCAGUUCUGUUUGAAGGUUCAGGCCACAGAAUGUCAGCAAAAACCGGUUUGAGUCUGUUGGUUUCCAGCAAGUGCCUCAGGAUAAGUCAGCGGGAGUCAAAAUCAGCAGAUUUCAAGGGUGUUUCAGGAACUGCACAAGAGGCGCUUAUAAAUCAAAGAAAAAAACUAAAAUAAAAAAGAAAUCGAAAGAUCAAGAACUGAUGUUGCUCCUCCAGAACGACUGAAAAUCUUGCUCCAGUUCUGUUUGAAGGUUCAGGCCACAGAAUGUCAGCAAAAACCGGUUUGAGUCUGUUGGUUUCCAGCAAGUGCCUCAGGAUAAGUUAGCGGGAGUCAAAAUCAGCAGAUUUCAAGGGUGUUUCAGGAACUGCACAAGAGGCGCUUAUAAAUCAAAGAAAAAAACUAAAAUAAAAAAGAAAUCGAAAGAUCAAGAACUGAUGUUGCUCCUCUAGAACGACUGAAAAUCUUGCUCCAGGUUGAUCAUCUAUCUUUAGCUCAUUACUUGUGAAACUUGGUAAACCUUUUGUAGUUACCUAAUUGUCUGAAAAGUAUGGAAAAAUCAGUAGAAAAUUCAUAAUAUUUGUUUAAACUUUCGUUUUUUAGAAGUUUAGAACUAUGUAAACAGUUCUGUUUGAAGGUUCAGGCCACAGAAUGUCAGUAAAAACCGGUUUGAGUAUGUUGGUUUCUAGCAAGUGCCUCAGGAUAAGUCAUAGGGAGUCAAAAUCAGCAUAUUUCAAGGGUGUUUCAGGAACUGCACAAGAGGCACUUACAAAUCAAAGAAAAAACUAAAAUAAAAAAGAAAUUGAAAGGUUAACCAAUGACCAUGUGACAACUGGCACCAAACCGGUAAUUUCCGUACACUUUAAUUAUUAUUUAAUGACUACAAUUAUGUGCUUAAAUGUCAACAUUCUUUGACUACAUGAUAUACUAGUGAAUUCA